AUGAACCCGGCUGCGGCCCUAGGCCCCGAUGGUUUGCCGGUGCGUUUCUUCCAGGCUUUCUGGCCGAUGGUCUAGGAGAUCAUCCUGGACCUAUUCCGCGAGUUCUCUAGGGGGACACUAGACAUGUCCCGGCUUAACUACGGGAUCAUUUCCUUGAUCCCCAAGGUACCGGGAGCUGCGAACAUUAGGCAAUUCUGCCCUAUCACAGUCCUGAACGUGAUAUUCCGGAUUUUGGCGAAGGGGUACGCCACUAGGGCGUCCCUAAUCGCCCCCCGGAUCCAUCAUCCGAACCAGUCGGCCUUUAUGAAUGGCAGGUAUAUUCUGGAUGGGAUCCUC
rnacentral:rRNA from 1 species